UACAGAGGGUGCGAGCGUUGUCCGGAAUUACUGGGCGUAAAGCGCACGUAGGCGGCUUUGUAAGUUAGAGGUGAAAGCCUGGAGCUUAACUCCAGAACUGCCUUUAAGACUGCAUCGCUUGAAUCCGGGAGAGGUGAGUGGAAUUCCGAGUGUAGAGGUGAAAUUCGUAGAUAUUCGGAAGAACACCAGUGGCGAAGGCGGCUCACUGGACCGGUAUUGACGCUGAGGUGCGAAAGCGUGGGGAGCAAACAGG
rnacentral:rRNA from 1 species